rnacentral:rRNA from 1 species
UGGGGAAUUUUGGACAAUGGGCGCAAGCUUGAUCCAGCAAUGCCGCGUGCAGGAUGAAGGCCUUCGGGUUGUAAACUGCUUUUGUACGGAGCGAAAAGGUCUGCCCUAAUACGGUGGGCUCAUGACGGUACCGUAAGAAUAAGCACCGGCUAACUACGUGCCAGCAGCCGCGGUAAUACGUAGGGUGCGAGCGUUAAUCGGAAUUACUGGGCGUAAAGCGUGCGCAGGCGGUUAUAUAAGACAGGUGUGAAAUCCCCGGGCUCAACCUGGGACCUGCAUUUGUGACUGUAUAGCUAGAGUACGGUAGAGGGGGAUGGAAUUCCGCGUGUAGCAGUGAAAUGCGUAGAUAUGCGGAGAAACACCGAUGGCGAAGGCAAUCCCCUGGACCUGUACUGACGCUCAUGCACGAAAGCGUGGGGGGCAAACA